rnacentral:tRNA from 1 species
GCUCCUGUAGUGUAGUCCGGUCCAGUGGAAACCCAGUUUAUGGGUUCCCUGCGGGAACAAUCAUUCUGCCUUUUCGAGGCGGGGACUCGGGUUCGAAUCCCGGCGGGGGCA